rnacentral:rRNA from 1 species
UACGGGGGGGGCAAGCGUUGUUCGGAAUUACUGGGCGUAAAGGGCUCGUAGGCGGCCAACUAAGUCCGACGUGAAAUCCCCAGGCUUAACCUGGGAACUGCGUCGGAUACUGGAUGGCUUGAAUUCGGGAGAGGGAUGCAGAAUUCCAGGUGUAGCGGUGAAAUGCGUAGAUAUCGAGAGGAACACCUGCGGCGAAGGCGGGUUGCUGGGCUGACACUGACGCUGAGGCGCGAAAGCCAGGGGAGCGAACGGG